rnacentral:lncRNA from 1 species
GCUGGCCCAAGCAAGAAGUAAUGAUCUCGCUCCAAUUUGACGCAAAGGGGGAGAUUGUUGGGUAGCAGAUUUAUUUGUAUUGCGUCUAUUGGGCUCGGUUAAUAGUCCAAGUUUUGUACUCCGGUUUGGGUCUGUCCAACCGUGAGCUAAUAGGGUUUAGUAUAAAUUAAUGUGCUUGCAUGCAUAUUAGGUUAAUGAUAGAAAACGAAAAAGAAGACGAUAGCGAUUACGAUAGUUCAUAGAUUAUUUUCUUCAUCGUUCUUGUAAACCCUUUAAUCCUCUACAGUAGUAGUUCUUUAUCGAGCAUGUCAGAGCAGGUGCGGCAGGAACCUUCUUCUUUACAGUCUGAAACAGACGAGAAAUAAGGGCGAGAAUCGUCUGUCUGAAUCGGAUGUACUACUGAAUCAUGUCGUCAAAGUAUUUGAUAUCAUCCGCUGUAUUUUCUUUGCACCUGUGGAUGAUCCCCAGCACAUGCUCAAGACAAGCAGUGGUAUAAAGAUGUUUAUCCGCUAAGGCAAAGAGACAUUUCUGUCCUUCACUCCUAGUGAACAUGACCGAGUUUCGCCUUGGGUCAAUCUUUCCCAUCUUCAUCUGGUUUAGAUCACUGGCCGAGCCAACAGGAGAGAUCUUCGGUUUCUUCUUGAAGACAGUUGCAAUCUCCUGAUCCAUCAGGGUGACCUCCAUGAUGUAGCACACCAACAUCCUUUUAAGAUGGUCGAUGAUCGGACCAUAUUCAGCUUCAUUAGUCAGAAGGAUGUUGUGCAGAACGAUCCAGUCAUGGGGGUUGAGGUUCGGUAGAUCUGCUAAAGAGAUGAGAUGUUCGGUUUUCGUAGAUCCUCUGACCACCCUGAACCGAACGUUGAUAAAUCUCCCUUCAGUAUAUGGCUUCAGAACCCGAACGUUGAUGAUCUUCUGAGCGUUCCAGGUUUGGUACUGUGGUUGAACGGCCUUCAGAUAGAACUCAAUCAAUUCCCGAUCAACCUCCGGAUGAGGAUGAGGGACCUCGGCAACGUUGGCAAAGGCGUGAAAGAAGAACGCCUUUCGGGUUAAGGGCAUGUCGAACUGAGAGUCGACAGAGUUGUAGCAGUCAAAGGAGAUUACCGGUUCGAGCCAUAAGAUGCUCGGAGUAUGUCACACCCCCGGCCGAGGCGGCGGAACAUGCCGGGCUGUGCGACUAAGUUCAUGGAUCAUAGAUAAAUUGAAUAUACAGCACAAGUACAACAAUAAACAAAACAACAUUUCAUUACAUAUUAUGUUUUCAUACAAAGUUCUUACAGAUAGUAAUAAGAUAAUAAUACGAGUUUGCCUUAACAGUUAGGCAUAACAGUUCAAAAGUAGGAAAUUAAAGUACUUGCGAUCCAUGUUUUCCAUCAUCUGAGUGUGCCCGUAAUUUCACUGAUUUNCGGAGUAUCGAUUGCCUCCUUUAUCAUCCUCUCUCGAGUCCAAGCAGGGAAAAGAGUCUUCCUGCUCUCGAGGAGGUCGUGGGCUUCUUUUUGUUUGCGUUCAGCUUCUUCAGCUUCUCUCGCCACACGAACGUUAUCAUCUUCAACAUUGCGACGACUUUUGCAUUUAAGCAAGUCGGCAAUGGUUUCGUUGUCUUCUUCUUCUUCAUCCUCAGCAAGUUUCUUGCCUUUGUCCUUCACACUCGAACCAAAGGUUUGACCUGUAGAAGGAGGUUCGGUUGUGUGAGUUGCCUUUGAGGAAGGAGGUGGUUGCGAUCCGGACUCCUUUUCUCCCCCUUGUUUCGGAGUGGACACGAAACUAGGUAGCCCUUCAAUUUUACUGAGCAGAUCCAGGGCAGGAGCGAGUUUUUCUGCAAGGGUUCGCCUCACAGAAUGGUUCAGGAUCGGAUCGUGUGCUUCCAGAAUGUUGGAUAUAGCUGAGUGUACAUCCGAAACACACGUCCUGAUUACCUCCCGUUCGGAUCGAAGAGCGUCAAGUUGUUGCUGAGAGUUGGAAAGUUGAGCACUCUUGACCUUGAGAGCGGUGGUCUUAUUUGCUAGAACGUCCAUCAACGAGUUUUCGGCGGCCAGAUUCUCUUGGAGUUUAGAGAGGCGCUCGUCGAUAGAGGCACGAAGGGCCGAGUUGUCGUCACUGAUCGAUUGGCGAAGGGUGGCAAAUGACUUCAACUCCGUGGAGACAAACGUGGCCAACUGUUGAACAAUGGGUUCCAACGUUGUCUUUGUAGCAUCGGCACUCUCCUGUAAGGACUUUAACAGGGAAGAGGCGUCAGAGAAUAGUUUAUCGACUUUUUCGGUCGCUACCUCACAAGCUUUCGUCGAGGCAUCUAUAGCGGCAGUGGCAGAAGCGACUGAAUCUUGCUGAGCCCUGGAGAAGGGAUCAACAAUCUUCAGAAGAGCAGCUUCAGAAAGAACUACUACUGUAGAAUAAUACGAACUACUACUGUAGAGAAUUAAGUUAAAAACUACUACUGUAGAUCUUUAAAACAGGUAAAGGGUUUAUUUGUAUUGCGUCUAUUGGGCUCGGUUAAUAGUCCAAGUUUUGUACUCCGGUUUGGGCCUGUCCAACCGUGAGCUGAUAGGGUUUAGUAUAAAUUAAUGUGCUUGCAUGCAUAUUAGGUUAACGAUAGAAAACGAAAAAGAAGACGAUAGCGAUUACGAUAGUUCAUAGAUUAUUUUCUUCAUCGUUCUUGUAAACCCUUUAAUCCUCUACAGUAGUAGUUCUUUAUCGAGCUCUUCUGAGGAUUGUUGAUUAAUCAUUCGACAUCUUUGAUUCAUUCUUUUGUUCGUAUUAUUUUCUGUUACAUUACUUUACCUGUUUUAAAGAUCUAAUCGAUCUUCAAGUUAGUUUUUAACUUAUCAGUCCCUAUGGUUUGAGGUGAUUUGCGUGCUUUGUCCCUAACUUAUUUUUUAACUCGGAAGGUCCCUAUGAUUUGUUUUUGUUACACGUUUGGUCCCUACUGUUUAUUUUUAUUAUGCGUUUGGUCCCUGUCUUAUCUAAAAAGACUAUUAUUUAAAAAGAAAAAAAUGAUGGAGUAAGUGAGGUAAGGUGAGGGGUUGGGAUUAGGGGUGUGUUUAUUUAAAUAAAUUAAAAAAAUCAAGGGUAUAAUAGUCUUUUUAGAUAAG